rnacentral:rRNA from 1 species
AUUGAACGCUGGCGGCAUGCUUUACACAUGCAAGUCGGACGGCAGCGGGGUAGUGCUUGCAUUACUGCCGGCGAGUGGCGAACGGGUGAGUAUAAUAUUGGAACGUACCGAGUAAUGGGGGAUAACUAUCCGAAAGGAUGGCUAAUACCGCAUACGUCCUGAGGGAGAAAGCGGGGGACAGGCAACUGCCUCGCGUUAUUUGAGCGGCCAAUAUCGGAUUAGCUAGUUGGUGGGGUAAAGGCUUACCAAGGCGACGAUCCGUAGCGGGUCUGAGAGGAUGAUCCGCCACACUGGGACUGAGACACGGCCCAGACUCCUACGGGAGGCAGCAGUGGGGAAUUUUGGACAAUGGGGGGAACCCUGAUCCAGCCAUGCCGCGUGUAUGAAGAAGGCCUUAGGGUUGUAAAGUACUUUUGUUAGGGAAGAAAAGGCGUUUGCUAAUAUCAGAUGCUGAU